AUAUCAAUCGUAUCAGACCUCCAUACUAAAUACACAUCAAGCUAUCACUUGGUAACUCCUACCUACCAUCUAUCAUCAUGACCGGAAGAUUCUACUUCUAUGUAUUUUCUGUUAUGCUUGCAGCCCUUUUUAUACAUGCUGAAGAAGUCCAGAACCAUGCCCGUUAUGCCAGAUCCUUAUCAAUGCUGCCCAGCAUAACAAAUUGCAACUAUACAACUCAACCUGGCUGGUCGUGUUCCGGGUGUAACACAGUGAGGAUCUGCCUCCCAAACAACGUGGCUAUCAAUACCAAUUGUGGCUUGUUCCUGCCAUAUUGCGAUGGUGGACGUUGCGUCUUUUCACCCAACGCUUCGUGUAACUCUACGGGAUCUUCUUAACAAUAUGAAAUGAAACAACAAACAACCGAGUCGAUGUAUUUUCACAAUCCAUUAGUCUGUACGAAAUAAAGGCUAAAUAAAUUACUUCGCAAAGGC